UGCGUCUACUUAAUUGAUAGUCGCCAGUGGGGUCCAUUUAAGUGGACGAUGCUCGUGAGGUGGAUGGGUUGGCAGACAAAGUUCUGGGGGACGACGUCGGGGACACGAAGCAUCGUUGAGACUUGAUAGAAGAAAUAGUGACAGCGGAGUGUACGAAUCCAUGGGAGUGUGACGAAUCUGGACGCAGAAAGCCAGGGGCGAACAAAGAAAGGUAACGAGGAGUCUUCUCCCCGUUGCCCUAAUCCUUUCCCCCCUCUUCUCUUGUUCUCAUCCUUUGCCUGCCGCCGGCCAUCCCUUCAGCUCCGUCGAGGGUAACGCAUCCUUGUUUCCAGCUCCUUUUCCGUCCUCCCUCUCUCUCAACGCCUUCUUUUCUGAUUUCUAUCCUCGCUCACCGCCCGCUGCGGAGCCCCUGUCUCUCAUUCUAUGCUUGUGCGCUGGAAAGCAAAAGGCUGAAAAAAGGGUUCCAAGUGCCCGGACUUGGUCCAAGCACCCGAAGGUCCGGGCGUCCAGCGGUGGUACAAGUGCUCGGGUAAGGAGGCGAAGCUGAGGUGGUGCACAUUGGUUGGUCGACACAUGACGGGUCCAUGCGCUCGAACUUGUCAGGGUGCCCAAAGAUGGAUGAAACUCUCAAAGAUAAGAGUUUCGCUGAGGAAUUGCCACGUCAGCAAUCCAAGCGCCCGGGGGUGAUUCAGGCGCCCGAAGUUGGCUAUAAAAGAAGCUUUGAACAACAACCUCGGAACAUCAUUCACUCCGACUUUCAUACUCGUGUGCUGCUUCGAGAAGAUUCAGACGACACCGAAAGGCUACUCCGACAAUCGACACUCAAUUGUUCCUCUACUUCCUUUUUGUUGUAGUAACAUUUACUUUAUAGUUCUUGUCCUCAAAUUCUAUAAAUCUUUGCGAACUGAUAGUGAUUGUCCCACAAAAAUACUCAUCAAAUGCGGACUUUAGAGUAGGAAUCAUCGAAGACUCCAAACCGAGUAAAAAUUAUUUAUGUUUUUUUGUUCUUUUUCCCUUCUCUUUUUCGCAGCGUUUGUUUUAAUUCAUAAUUGAAAAAGCGACGAAUGCUACCCCAAUCCCUCCCCCCUCCUCCUCUAGCGUCUUUUUAAUCCUAGUCUCGUUGUUAUCCAUGUUACUUAGUAUCAUGUGUACCUGUUAUUUUUAUAUACAUUAUAUAUAUCCUGUCGAUUAUAUCUCCCACAUGUGGUAGGGUGAGUACCCCCAUUUGUGGUAGAGCGAGUCAUUAGCGAUUAUUGGUAUAUUCUAUCGGUCAUUAUCUUCCAUUCAUGGUUGAGAGAGAGUUGUCAGCGACCAUUGUUAUAUCCGGUUGACUAUUGUCUCCCCUUCGUUGUUGAGAGAGUCGUCACCGACACCAUUGUUAUAUCCCGUCGAUCAUUACCUCCCAUUCGUGAUUGAGAAGUUAUGGUAUAUUCUGUCGAUCAUUGUCUCUCAUUCGUUGUUGAGAGAGUCGUUAGCGAUCAUGAUACAUUUGAUUGCCCACAAGAUUGUACGUGGUAGCGAGUUCACUUGCAGUCCAUAGCUAGAUAGAUGCGUAUAUACAUUGUCCGUCUACGAGAUUGUACGUGGUAGCGAGUUCGCCAGCAAACAGUGGUCACCUAUAUGUCCUGUCUGCCCACGAGAUUGUACGAGGUAGCGAGUUCGCCCAUAGAAGUGACUAUUAUAUGCCGAUUUUGUAUUUGUUCAUGCAAGUUUUAGAUGUAUUAUAUGUACUCCCGAUUUAUUAUUAUAUCUAGUUGACCAGGUUAAUAGAGAGUUAAAUUAUUGUUUAUGUUUUUGUUAGCAGAUGAUCAUAUUGGUGCUCUUACUUUUGUAGUAAAUAUUAUUACCUGAGAAUAUUUCUUUUAUCUCCUUAUACGUAGUAUCAUGCACUAUCCGUUUUAUACUCAUUAAGUAUUUUAUACUCACUACCCCAUACUUUUCUUUGACUUCUUGGUUAAUAGAUAGAGGAUAGGUUAUUUCAACUAUCCUAGUGUCGCUUAGAGAAGUACUUGUCUGUCGCACUCGACUUUGAGUUAUCGAGUUUCAUUUUUAUGUUGUUGUGAUUCAAUUGCUUUUCAUUGUGUAUCGACUCUUUGUGUUUUGGUGGAAUUGUAAUAAUCUUUAUCUUGUUUAGUUUUAUUAUGUUCACAUGUUCAUGCAUGCAUACACGUACUAUCAUUUAAAAAAAAAACUUAGUGAUUUUUAUAUCGCAUUAGUGUUUGUGUUGACUUUAAAUGAUUUAGUAUCAGUUAUUUUUUAUAUUAUUACUAGGGGUACCGUCCGGUUUGACGGAUAAAUAUACCCUCGGAGUGUGAUAGCCUUACCUCCCAUAGCAUAACCAUUAGAUUUUAAUUUGCUCGUUCCCGUGUCUGACAGACUAUAACAGCAUGGGACCAUAUAUAUAUAGCUGAAGCUUCAAAUAAUCAUUUGUAACACCAUGCCAAUAAGUAUAUUAUUGUGACUAUAACGAACUUGCUCAAAAUUGGCCAUUCAAUAUCAUAGCAGAAAAGUUAAUUUGAGUAAACUUGAAGGUGUAAGGGGUAGAGGGAGCAGAAAGUAAAGUUUAGUUAAUGAAAUAAGAAGUGUUUUGAUUGCUCUACAUAUUAUUGGUGAUAUAUUUGGUUUGGCAUGAUGAUUGUUGGUAGACUAAAUUGACUAUGGGGUGGUUUUGUUAAGGACUUUGUUUAGCCACAACUUCUAGGAAACUUUUUGUUUGUUAUGAUGGAGAAAGCAAUUAACAGGAUAUCCAUAUGUUGCAAUAUA